AACGUAGGAGGCGAGCGUUAUCCGGAUUUACUGGGUGUAAAGCGCAUGCAGGCGGUUCGCUAAGUUGGGUGUGAAAGCUCCCGGCUCAACUGGGAGAGGUCGCUCAAGACUGGCGGACUGGAGCGUGGUAGAGGAAGGCGGAAUUCCGGGUGUAGUGGUGAAAUGCGUAGAUAUCCGGAGGAACACCAGUGGCGAAAGCGGCCUUCUGGGCCACGACUGACGCUCAGAUGCGAAAGCUAGGGGAG
rnacentral:rRNA from 1 species